rnacentral:rRNA from 1 species
GGACUUUGAAAAGAGAAUUAAAGAAAGCCUGCAUUUGUUUUUCAAUUUUAAAAAGGACUUUGAAAAGAGAAUUAAAGAAAGCGUGUAUUUGAUGACAAUUAAAGCAAGUGUAGAUGUUCAUGUAAUUGUUAAUGCAUCAAUCAAUGUUCAUCAUGGUUACUGCAUGUUUUAUCACAUGGGAUCAGUUGAAACUUUGUGAGAGCACUCUUCAGUUCCCGCACGUACCCACCAGCUUUGUCCACUCGUGUGUUGGCACACAUGUAAUGAUGAUGUGUUUAUGCAAGAUACUUCUGUGCGCACCAACAUGUUGUGCAAAUCUUCACUUGACCCGUCUUGAAACACGGACCAAGGAGUCUGGCAAGUGUGCAAACCAACUUUCUGUAGAGAUUUGUAUGUAAUGAACAUGUUUGUAUCAUUAUUGCACCACCAAUCAAUAUUCAGCUUGUUGCUUAUUUGAAUGUGAGCAUUGUUGCUAGGACCCGAAAGAUGGUGAACUAUGCUUGCAUAACAUGAGUUCAGAGGAAACUCUGAUGGAAGUUUGUAUCGGUACUGACGUGCAAAUCGUUC